rnacentral:rRNA from 1 species
UACGUAGGUGGCAAGCGUUGUCCGGAUUUACUGGGCGUAAAGAGCGCGCAGGCGGUCGUUCAAGUCGAGUGUGAAAGCCCCCGGCUCAACUGGGGAGGGUCACUCGAUACUGAUCGACUUGAAGGCAGGAGAGGGAAGCGGAAUUCCCGGUGUAGUGGUGAAAUGCGUAGAUAUCGGGAGGAACACCGGUGGCGAAGGCGGCUUCCUGGCCUGUUCUUGACGCUGAGGCGCGAAAGCUAGGGGAGCAAACGGG